AAUAAAUGGAGCCAACUUGAUACCAGAGUGAGCCUGGAGUUUGGGGCCACAGAAAAAUGAUGCCCACAGCAUGCAGGGAAAUCAUGGUAGCUGCACUGAGGGGAAGAAAAACAGAGCCCAGUGAACCCAGCCAUUUCAAAUCCAAAUUGGCUUCAACUAUUAAGAGGAGACAAAUGGAACAACAGAAUCAGAGAAGCAGACUUAGGGUCAUCGAAUGUGGCUCCCCAAGGAUGCAGCCUGAAGAUGACUAAGAGCUUCUGGGAGGUAGAGAGACUUGUCCUAAAAAUCCAUGACCAAAAUACUAAUAUUUGUGUGUAAACAGUCCAUUCUAAUUCAGUUCAAGACAUUAUUU